CAUAUAUGGGACCCAUUUCUUAGAGACAUGAUAAAUAUCUCCUUACCUGAACAUUUUAUUUACAAAUAGCUGCAAUAUUCAACUACUAAGCUUGAAACUUGUGCUCCCAUUAAGAUUUGCGCGCUUAGAGUUUAAGGUUUAAGGUUUAGAGUUAAAAAAGGACAACCUUUUUAAUUGGCUGCAUGUAUGUCUGGAGCGCUAUCUCCAACCGGAAAUUUGAAGCCAGACUUAUAAAGGCCAGUCCCAGUCUUUUCACGCAUGUGACGAGUACGGUCAAUCCGUCAACAUGAAUAUGUAUUCUUGAAAACCAGCUUAAAUUUGCCAAUAAAAAGCUUUUUAACAGCUGUGAAAACGUUCUAUUAAUCCAUAUAAAGAAAACUUGCUAUAGUAGAAUUUAGUUUCAGUUUUUUCUUAUCAAGACGGCAUGGUCUCUCGAGAGAAUAGACAUAAACACGCGGGUCUUGACCUCCAGACACUGCGUGUCUUGGAGUCAGAGUUGGCUUCAAGAAAAAUAUAGACAGUUUAUAUAUGAAGGUAGUGUUCCAGUUAUUCAUCUCACAUGCAAUACCUGCCACUGAUAUUAUUUUGCUAGCGUUUCUCAGCGCUGGAAAUAACUACAGAAACUUGACGGUCAAGUACAAACUCACGGUCAAGAAACUUGACGGUCAAGUACAAACUCACGGUCAAGAAACUUGACGGUCAAGUACAAACAGUACUCCCGGUCAAACAUUAACAACUACUCUUAAUGAGGAAAAACAAUAGUAUUUUCUUGUAAUCUAAAUUACUAUUGGAGCCGAGCAUAUGCAGGUUCCAUCUUAGAUAUAUUUAAUAAAUUUGCACGGUGCUUUAUGGUGCUUUUCCUAUGGUGCUUUUCCCGUCGAUUACCUGACGAUGUUCAGUCCGGGUGGUUUCAACCGAGGCUGAAACUCGGGC